rnacentral:lncRNA from 1 species
CUAUAUCAAUUGGCAAAAUCUCCUGCGCUCUGCCCAUGGCCAGCCCGUAGCCAACCCUAUAUUAAGUAAUGCUUUCUGGCACCUGAAGGCUGUGACCCUGAAAGAACAAAUUAACGUUCUCAUGUACAGAACAGACACUCUAUACAACGAGAAACAUGCCCAACGCUUCAGUGGCCAACAUGGUCCUGCCUAUUGCCCCUUAUGUGGCAAUCAAGACAGCACCUCUCAUUCUCUACUUAGAUGCACCCACCCUCAGAUCAAUAGAAUGUGUAUUGAUCGGCACCAUCAAGCGGUCAGCCUGUGCUUCCAAGAAAUCAGCAAAGGUGACUCAUGUCUUUUCAUUGUGGGAAUGGACGCUACCAGCAGGGAAGAUC